UACGUAGGGUGCAAGCGUUUGUCCGGAAUUAUUGGGCGUAAAGAGCUCGUAGGCGGUUUGUUGCGUCGGCUGUGAAAUCCCCGAGGCUCAACCUCGGGUCUGCAGUCGAUACGAGCAAACUAGAGUGUUGCAGGGGAGACUGGAAUUCCUGGUGUAGCGGUGAAAUGCGCAGAUAUCAGGAGGAACACCCGGUGGCGAAGGCGGGGUCUCUGGGGCAA
rnacentral:rRNA from 1 species